rnacentral:rRNA from 1 species
GUGAUCUAAAGGAAAGAUUAGUCGUAACGAGGCAUCGGUAGGUGAACCUGCAGAAGGAUCAA